rnacentral:rRNA from 1 species
CAAAAAAGCGAAUUCCAAUAUAUGUUUUCUGCUUUAUGUGCGCAUCCUCUACCUAUUAAGUGUUAAUUAAAUUAAAGGGUUUCUUUUUAAAAUCUUCUAUAACUAAUAAAAAAAUAUGGAAGAUUUUGUUACUUUGAGUAAAUUAGAGUGUUCAAAGCAAACAGAUAUAUAGCAUUUGUGCGUUUGAAUACUACAGCAUGGAAUAACAAAAUUGAACAGGUCAAAACUAUGUUUCUUUUUUUUUAUUUUUGGCUUAGUUACGAUUAAUAGGAGUAGUUUGGGGACAUUUGUAUUCAGAUGUCAGAGGUGAAAUUCUAAGAUUUUCUGGAGACAAACAACUGCGAAGGCAUUUGUCUAAAAUACUUCCAUUAAUCAAGAACGAAAGUUAAGGGAGUGAAGACGAUCAGAUACCGUCGUAAUCUUAACCAUAAACUAUACCGACUAGGUUUUGGAUGAAAGUAAAACAAAUAAGGAUAGUCUCUUCGGGGAUAGUUCUUAGAUUUCUUCCUUCAGUACCUUAUGAGAAAUCAAAGUCUUUGGGUUCUGGGGCGAGUAUUCGCGCAAGCGAGAAAGUUAAAAGAAUUGACGGAAGGGCACCACCAGGCGUGGAGCUUGCGGCUUAAUUUGACUCAACACGGGAAAACUCACUAGUUUAAGACAAGAGUAGGAUUGACAGAUUAAUAGCUCUUUCUUGAUUUCUUGGAUGGUGAUGCAUGGCCGUUUUUAGUUCGUGAAUAUGAUUUGUCUGGUUAAUUCCGAUAACGAACGAGAUCUUAACCUGCUAAUUAGCAGUAAGUACAACAUAUUUCUAUGCUGAAUUUGUAUUUGGAUAAUUUAAAAGGUUUCUUUGCCGUGCAUAUAAUGAGUACGGAAAAAAUGCAUACUGCUACCUUGUACCUAAUAAUACUUGGCGCCUAUGCAUAUUUCCAACCCUCUAUUCCCUGUACCGCAUAAAACUGGAUUAUGAUGCCAUUUCACUUUUAUGUAGAAAUGUAUUUGCUUUUACAUAAAGCUUCUUAGAGGAACGAUGUGUGUCUAACACAAGGAAGUUUAAGGCAACCACCAGGAA